UACGUAGGGACCAAGCGUUGUUCGGAUUUACUGGGCGUAAAGGGCGCGUAGGCGGCUUAACAAGUCACUUGCGAAAUCUCCGGGCUUAACUCGGAACGGCCAAGUGAAACUGUCAAGCUAGAGUGCAGAAGGGGCAACUGGAAUUCUCGGUGUAGCGGUGAAAUGCGUAGAUAUCGAGAGGAACACCUGCGGCGAAGGCGGGUUGCUGGGCCGACACUGACGCUGAUGCGCGAAAGCCAGGGGAGCGAACGGG
rnacentral:rRNA from 1 species